rnacentral:rRNA from 1 species
CGCGUGAGGAUCUGCCUAAAGGACCGGGACAACAGUGGGAAACUGCUGCUAAAACCGGAUGUGCCGAGAGGUGAAAUAUUUAUAGCCUUUAGAUGAACUCGCGUCUGAUUAGCUAGUUGGUGUGGUAAGAGCAUACCAAGGCGACGAUCAGUAGCUGGUCUGAGAGGACGAUCAGCCACACUGGGACUGAGACACGGCCCAGACUCCUACGGGAGGCAGCAGUGGGGAAUUUUCCGCAAUGGGCGCAAGCCUGACGGAGCAACGCCGCGUGAGGGAGGAAGGCCUGUGGGUCGUAAACCU